rnacentral:rRNA from 1 species
CAGCAGCCACGGUAAUACGAAGGGGGCUAGCGUUGUUCGGAUUUACUGGGCGUAAAGCGCACGUAGGCGGACUUUUAAGUCAGGGGUGAAAUCCCGGGGCUCAACCCCGGAACUGCCUUUGAUACUGGAAGUCUUGAGUAUGGUAGAGGUGAGUGGAAUUCCGAGUGUAGAGGUGAAAUUCGUAGAUAUUCGGAGGAACACCAGUGGCGAAGGCGGCUCACUGGACCAUUACUGACGCUGAGGUGCGAAAGCGUGGGGAGCAAACAGGAUUAGAUACCGUGUAGUCCCUGUCUCUUAUACC